rnacentral:rRNA from 1 species
GGAAGCAAAAAAGCGUAACAAGGUUUCCGUAGGUGAACCUGCGGAAGGAUCAUUACCGAGUGCGGGCCCUCGCGGCCCAACCUCCCACCCUUGUCUCUAUACACCCGUUGCUUUGGCGGGCCCACCGGGGCCACCUGGUCGCCGGGGGACGUUCGUCCCCGGGCCCGCGCCCGCCGAAGCGCUCUGUGAACCCUGAUGAAGAUGGGCUGUCUGAGUACUAUGAAAAUUGUCAAAACUUUCAACAAUGGAUCUCUUGGUUCCGGCAUCGAUGAAGAACGCAGCGAAAUGCGAUAAGUAAUGUGAAUUGCAGAAUUCCGUGAAUCAUCGAAUCUUUGAACGCACAUUGCGCCCCCUGGCAUUCCGGGGGGCAUGCCUGUCCGAGCGUCAUUUCUGCCCUCAAGCACGGCUUGUGUGUUGGGUGUGGUCCCCCCGGGGACCUGCCCGAAAGGCAGCGGCGACGUCCGUCUGGUCCUCGAGCGUAUGGGGCUCUGUCACUCGCUCGGGAAGGACCUGCGGGGGUUGGUCACCACCAUAUUUUACCACGGUUGACCUCGGAUCA